AGUGAACGCUGGCGGUAGGCCUAACACAUGCAAGUCGAACGGCCGCACAGUAAGAGCUUGCUCUUACGGGUGGCGAGUGGCGGACGGGUGAGGAAUACAUCGGAAUCUACUUUUUCGUGGGGGAUAACGUAGGGAAACUUCCGCUAAUACCGCAUACGACCUACGGGUGAAAGCAGGGGAUCUUCGUACCUUGCGCGAUUCAAUUAGCCGAUGUCGGAUUAGCUAGUUGGCGGGGUAAAGGCCCACCAAGGCGACGAUCCGUAGCUGGUCUGAGAGGAUGAUCAGCCAAACUGGAACUGAGACACGGUCCAGACUCCUACGGGAGGCAGCAGUGGGGAAUAUUGGACAAUGGGCGCAAGCCUGAUCCAGCCAUACCGCGUGAGUGAAGAAGGCCUUCGGGUUGUAAAGCCCUUUUGUUGGGAAAGAAAAGCAGCAGGUUAAUACCCCGCUGUUCUGACGGUACCCAAAGAAUAAGCACCGGCUAACUUCGUG
rnacentral:rRNA from 1 species